rnacentral:lncRNA from 11 species
UUUUGAUCAAGAGGCUUCAUGGUUUAGUUGGAGCUGUGUCAGCAAUUGCCUUAAGCUCUGUUAUGUUUGAUGAGGUCUCAGCAAAAUUCAGAAAAGGGGUGUGGAACGUCGGCUUUGAACUACCAGUACACGUUUCCCCAACCUUCAGGCAGCAAUGAACUUCAGCGCAAUUAUCUGGUUAAUCAAGCAUUUAAUUUGGCCCUUCGGAAGGCAAGACAAGUUGAUCAGCCAUGACAAACAAGCAAGCUGUGGAGAGAGCUGGGGAUUUUGAACAGCACAGAACUACAUAGUUCCCUUGGAGCUACAAAUUAUGAAUCUAAGACUAUGCUGGAGUCAAUAAAAUAUUCCACUGAAAUGUUCAG